rnacentral:rRNA from 1 species
GUCCGAUGUGAAAUCUCCCGGCUAAACGGGGAAGAUGCAUCGGAAACUGAUCGGCUUGAAGGUGGGAGAGGGUAGUGGAAUUCCCGGUGUAGUGGUGAAAUGCGUAGAUAUCGGGAGGAACACCAGUGGCGAAGGCGACUACCUGGCCCAUUCUUGACGCUGAGGCGCGAAAGCUAGGGGAGCGAACGG